UAAAAUACUUAAGCCGUGGUAAUCCAAACUGCACUCUCACAACAAAACAGAGAUCAAAAGAUUAAAGAAGCCGACUCUCUGGUCAAGAAGGCACUUUGAUCAUUUAUUGUAAUAAAGAACAUUUUGCAAUGUGGACUCCUGUGCUAAGAAGUCCAGACACAUUGCAAGUCAGUAUUCUUAACUGUGAUGUAGAAGAGAGAAACGUUGCCAAGAGGGAAACUUUCUCUUUACUGUGGGAGGAUCUGUCUAUGGAAAUAAGACGGCAAGAGAGGACAACACUGCUGGAAUGGAACAGCUUCCAUCAUGAGAGAUAUGAAAAGCAACAUCAGGAUAUCUUUCUUGUGCAGAGAUCACCCAACCUGAAGAUACAGAUGGGCAGACUUAGAGAAAAGAUGAAAGUAUACCACCUUCCAUACAAUCAUGUGCUCCCCGUUCCAUUGUUUACACCAAGCAAAUUACCAAGCAAACAUAAUUAUGAACCUCAAGUCAGAAGAGAAGUCUCGACAAAUGGUUCUACUUCUGAAACAAGGGAGAUCAGACAAGCUCCAAAGGUUCUUCAGCCUGCCAAGCCAAGUUUCCAGAUUUCCAACCUUAUAACUCGGCAAAAUAUUAGGUGCCCAUCAAUGCACUAAUUGCUAUCACAAGCUAUAUAUGAUUAUUCUUGUCAAAUUAUGCUAUUACUUGUAGUGGUAGGACUGCCACACUCAAGCUCCAUUUUAGAUGUAAGUAGUCCAAUAAUUAUCAUUAAAAAAUGUCCACGUGAACCUUUUCUAGUUGCAGGCAACUAGCUGUGAUAACAACUGAUGACCUCAGAUGGAGAUGUGCACCUUGGAGAAUCCAAGGGAAAGAUCUGGUAUGCAAGGACAAGGCAGUGGAGUGGAAUCAGGAAUAUUAAUAGUUUUAUGAGAUAGAUAUUAUGUAUAGAGAGGCAAGGGUAGACUGCUUUUCAGUGCUCUUGCUUCUGGCUGCUGGCUGCUUGUUAGCCCCACCUCUACUCCAGGACUGGAAUACAAGUAAUUAAAGUCCCAUUCAAAAGCUGGCCUGGAUCAAGGAAUGGAUUAGCCAAAACCACCACACACCUCUCAGGUGCAGCAGAAGCGUAUCCAGCCAAUGAGCCAGGUCAUUGGGGCCUGAAUGAUCAUAGUGAUGCCAACAGGGAAGUGCACCCAGCUGUAUAUUUAAAUCAGCUAUACAGGUGGAGGGCUGGUUUUGUGCAGGGAUCUCUUCUAUUGGAUCAGGCCAUAAGCAUUGAAAGCAUUCUUUGCCAUCCCAAAAGAAAACCUGGAUCCAAAUAUUUCAGGAAGAGGAAGAAGAAGUCUGUAUUCAGAACAUCAACCUUUUCAUAUCUAGUGAUUAAAAUGGAUUGCAUUAUAAUCCAAGUUUUGCCAGUACUAUGAGCUAAUUCAUGAAUUUGAAUGAAAUGUUUGGCUAGUACUCUGCACCUGUCCACUUUUGAAGUAUUGGCAUCACAAUAUUUUCUUUAAUGAGGCAUCCCUUUCUGAGAAAAGAAAACACAACCUUCAGCAUCAUACAUUAUUAUUUUGACAUUUUCUAUAUUUUUAAAAAGCAGAAUUGAUCCUCAGUUAUCCUAGCUGAAAGAGCAUCAACAUCUGAAGAGUAAGCAACAUGGAACUAUUAAAUAAUCAACACAGCUUGCAAUGUUGGCUUGAAAAUAGAAGCACUCUUUGAAAUGCCAAAAUCAGACCCUGGAAUGGAAAUUAUUUAUAAGCAAAUAAGAUCUAAAGGUUAAACCAGUCCUAGGGAGAUGACCCUAAGACGGAAUGAAGGUGUGGACAAAAAAAGGUGGGGGGGGGACUGUUGUCUGCCAGUAGAAAUUAAAGAAGCGUUCAGAAGGCUCUGGUUUACACUAGGGAUUGCCCGGUAUCUGGACUGCUGAAGAAGCAGGGCAACAAUUUGGUUUGGUGCCCAUUAUUCCUCAGAGUCCUUGGCUAUAUUUAGAAAGAUGAGAGCAUCAUUAUUUGACUAUGCUGACUUCAAAAGCCCCACAUGAUUUGCAAAUAUCAUACCAGAGUUAAAGCUCCAAAUGCACUUAAGAAAAGCAGCAGACAGCCUAACUAAUGAAGUGCUCAGGUCAACAGGAGCUGUAGGCAUGUAGCAGCACCCCACACACAACUCCCUCUGUCCUCCUGUGCACUCACACUGUUGGGUUCUUGCACAGACUAGAGUGCUUCUCGUGCUCUGGAAUUGUUUUGUAAGAUUGGAAACAAAUCAUGGAGGGUCAGCGAUGAGUUUCUGAUCUUCCUAAGCGAGGGCUGCUGCUGCAUGCCUGCGCAGAGCCUACUUCCUUAAGUGCAUGCUUUAAAACAUAUAUGCUAAUAUAAUGUGAUUAACAGUGCAGUCCUACGCACACAUACCAGAGAGUAAAUCCCAGUGUAAACCCCCAGUGGGAUAUGUAUCUGCAUAAACAUGCAUAGGAGUGAGCUGCAUAGUUCUCAGUGUUCAGGAGUAGGGAUGUGCAAAUUGAUUCAAAUUCAAAUCAAUUCGACUCGAAUCUGGGUAAUUCAAGUGAUUCAAAUUCAAUACCCCUUAAAAAGGGGCAAUUUGGUUCAAAUGUUAAUUGAAUUUUUAAAAAUUUGAUUUGAAUUUAAUUCUAGAGCCAUUUUUAAAACCCUUUAAAAACCAUUCAGGCCCCCUGAUAGGCUGAAAAAGGGGCCCAAAAAGGGUUGAAUCUAUUCAAAUUAAAUUUUCAGACCAGGUUUGAAUUUGAUUCAAAUUCAAAAUGAAUUUUCAUAGCUCAAUUUGAAAUGAAUAAAAACAUUCAUUUCAUGGACAUCUCUAUUCAGGAGAAGAAUAAAGAAAACGUAAUUUACAGGCUAAGGAACUCUUUAUUUGGGGGCAGGUAUUAAAAGUGACAUGGUGAAUUGUAUGUGGGAUCAGUGAGGCAGGAGCUAAGUUCUGAAGGAACAAAACUGGAAGGAAACAGCAGGGACUGGGAAAGUGCUAUGAAGCAAAGAAAUCUAAAGAUGAGAAGACAUUUUGACAAGUUGUUUAGUGCAAAAUAUGGGGCAGGGAAGAGCAACAAAGAGUAACAGAAGAGCAACAAAGCACACAUUUGGUGAAUUGGGAAGGAGGACUAGGAAUUGUAGUUUUUACUGAUAGAGCUGGACUAUGAAGCAUCUUUCCAGAUUACCAUAGACCUUGGUGCAACCUGGCAUAUACGGAAAAACACAGGCAACCUUAUCCAUUAGAACCGUCUGAGUGAACUUGGGUAGAAGAACCAAUCAUUUGGAAGUUGGACUGAAUGACAGAACAGAAUAUACUACCAAGUCAGAUUUAUAUGGAUCAGCUCCUAAAUUGGCAUCUAAUUGCUUAUUUAUUUUAUUAUUAUGAUUAUUUAUUUAAUUAUCUAAUUUCUAUACUGCCUGACUCCAAAGGCUCUAGUCAGUUCACAAAAAUCUGUACUUUAAAAACAUUUAGCAUGGGGGGAUUUAAAGCAAGUACUUUCUAAUGGUAAUUUCUAGACAAUCAUUUUAUUUCCUUCUCCCACAGCUUACGCUUCUGUUGCUUAAUGCUCCCAUGUGAUUGAUAUAUAUAAAUUAUUUGGGAACUUC